rnacentral:lncRNA from 1 species
AUGUGGCAGCACCAGGACUGGUCUUUCACAGCUCUGAAGGGAAAGGAUUGUUUUGUCUUUUGCAUUGAUUUUAUUUGUAUUUUGUUUUUUUGUUUUUUGUCCUUUUUAGGACUUUGUCCAAACACGUGUGGGCUGAUGUAUCAGAGAGUCAUGAACUGUUCCUCCUGUCACCCGGCGGUACGUACCUGUGUGUCUCCCACUGCUGCGGAGAGCUGUGGAGUGUACAGAAUCCAGGUGCCCGAGGGAGGCCAGGCUGUGCUAAACUGCUUCCUGCCUUGGCACAGCCUCACCAUAGGCAAGGCAGAGUACCAGUACUCCUGGGCACCCAACCUGACUGCUUCCAGCGAAGGGGAUUUUGAGGUGGUGAUAGCGACCCCAGAUGCCCGGGUUGUGCUGAACCAGGUGCGGAUGGAGGAGGGGGGAGUGUACCGCUGCCUCCUGCUGUCCACCAACGGCACUAUCCUCACUCGCAUCCUGUUCCUGCUGCGUGGUGAGUCCCAGGGCCAGGGAGGCAGAGCAGCUGCAGUGAUAAGACUGGAAACAUGAUCUGUCACAGUCCUGACAGCUUGAUGUCUUUCACACUUUCAGUCAAGUACAAACUCGGUCCACAUCCAAACUGGAACAGACUCAAACUCACAGAUGCGGUUUGGCUUGGCGUGGUGCAAGAUGCUUAGCCAGACACAGUUGCUCAUGCAGGAGGCUGAACCUUUAUAUGCUGGCACUGUACGGGUGGGGAGGUGCUCUUUUUCAUUUGGGUGGGUUCUUUUUGGGGGGUAGCUCUUCAACACAUUUACACUUGUGACUUUCCUCCAAUUCUCCCUCACUAUCCAGCUCUGAUUCCCUGUUCACUUUCUCUCCCUGUUCUCUCUCUCUUAUCAUUCUCCUCUCUUCCUCUCUCUCACCCCCUCUCUCUCACCUCCUGUCUGUCCAUCUCUCUCUACCUGUUCAUUCUCUGACUUCUCCUCCUCUCCCUCACUUCCUGUCUGUCCAUGUCUCUCUCUCUGACCUCUCCUCCUCUCCCUCACCUCCUGUCUGUCCAUCUCUCUCUCCCUGUUCCCUCUCUCUGACCUCUCCUCCUCUCUCUCCUGUGUUUCCCUGCUCCCUCUCUCUGUCCUCUCUCCCUGCUCUGUCAGUACUGCUGCUUGUAGUUAGUUGCAGCUGUACAGUUCACACAGAAGUUAAAAUGGAAUAUUAGAAGAGCUGAUACCAAUACUGAACACAACAACAGACGUCUUAACAAGAGUAAUAACA